CUACAUUUGUAAAUAGUACAGAUUAUGCCAAACAGUAUAAUCAAAUUUAUUAGAGACUGUUGUUACUAAUGCACUUACCUGAACCGUUGCAGGCCUGUGUUUCAGUGGCAAAAUGGGGAUUUGAACAACUGACGGCCUAAACUGUAGGCUUCCAUCUGUACCCCAUAUGCCAUUCGGCAUCACCAUACAAGGUGGAAUACAUAGAAUAGGUAUAUCCUGGUAGUCACCUAUGGAAGUGCUGUUUACUGGGUCUUCAAGGAUAAAAGCUUAGACUCGGCUGGGCCUCAUGUAUGCAGUGGACUACUGUCAUCACUACCGAGAGAGAUAGGACAGACCCCUGUUUGCUGAUGUAGGUACCCAGGCUGGCAACUCUUACUGAUAUGCUGUUUGCUGGGUCUUCAGGGAUAAGAGGCUGAACCCUGGCCUGGCUUCAUGUAGGCAGUAUAUCACAUCCCCUGUGGGGGUACCCAAGCUAGCCUGUUGCUGGGUCUUCAGGGAUAAGAGGCU